UAUGGCUUUAAAAGUGCACUUUUGUAACAUUUGUCUAAAGAGCAGUGGGCCUUUGGAUUUUCCCUUUGGAUACACAGAUUGCAGCUCCAAAAAAGUCUGUUUUAGGCCAUAGUUGCCAGUCAUGUUCAUAAAUCUGUGCUGGUUACUCAGAGCUGGUUAAAAGGCUGCAACAUCAGUUCUCUCUCAACAUCUCUUUAGAUAAGGUACAUAAGUAGAAAGUGGGAGUAUAAUGAAAUAUAUCUUCCUCAUCUUCUUGCUUUGUUUUGAUCUUGCAUUCCAGGCAAUAAAAAACCUGCAAAUAAUUCUGAAGUGUGAAUUCUCUCUUGCUGGGAUCUGCAGAAAAGGAACACCCAGAUCAUCAGCCAACAAGGCAGCAGCAACUGUGAGAAGAACCAACUGUGAGCCCUUGAAAUCCUUUCCAAAGAUGGAAAUAACUUCUUUACCUUCAGUCCUGCCUGGAAUUCUCCCUCUGUGAGAGGCACAAUCUCAGUGUGCUCUGGUAGCACCAACUUGAAACCAGUUUUACCUGAAGUUUGGGGGAAUCCUGUCUUACCACUCUCUCAAUAAAUUUAAAUAUGCUGCA